GCCGGCUUAGCUCAGAUGGUAGAGCACCUGAUUUGUAAUCAGGGGGUCACGGGUUCGAUUCCUGUAGCCGGCACCA
rnacentral:tRNA from 1 species